rnacentral:misc_RNA from 1 species
GAAAUGCGAUAAGUAAUGUGAAUUGCAGAAUUCAGUGAAUCAUCGAAUCUUUGAACGCACCUUGCGCUCCUUGGUAUUCCUUGGAGCAUGCCUGUUUGAGUAUCAUGAAAUCUUCAAAGUAAAUCUUUUGUUAACUCAAUUGGUUUCUACUUUGGUAUUGGAGGUCUUUGCAGCUUCACACCUGCUCCUCUUUGUUCAUUAGCUGGAUCUCAGUGUUAUGCUUGGUUCCACUCGGCGUGAUAAGUUAUCUAUCGCUGAGGACACUGUAAAAGGUGGCCAAGGUAAUGCAGAUGAACCGCUUCUAAUAGUCCAUUGACUUGGACAAUACUUUUAUGAUCUGAUCUCAAAUCAGGUAGGACUACCCGCUGAACUUGAGC